AACUUUUAGUGGCGUCCUUUUUCCCUGUGGGAAGAAAUAGGAUCAAUUUCGCCGGUGUUGAGCCCUAGUAGCCUGGAAGAAAUUUAGGUCCGGCGAUGGAGCAACUGAGUGAAGAAGAGAAAAAGGCGCUUCGUGGAAGCAAAUUCGCACCGCUUCCUUCUGCACUAUCUUCUUCUCGUUCUCAACCUAGGCUGGCUCAUCCAGGAGGAUCAAUGAAGACGAAUAAGGCAGCAGCUUUAGCAAAAUUCCUUGACAGGAAAUUACAGGACCCAAGCGGCUUGUCCUCUCUUGAUCCCCGUCUCAUUGAACUCGCCGUCAAAAAUGCUAAACACACUCUUCAAUCCAGUGGGGCAUCAAGUAGAGGAAGAAUUGUUCAGCAUGUGGAUUCUUUCGGUGAUUCUGAGGAAUCUGCUGAAGAUGAAGAGAUAAAAAUAUCCGUCCAAAAAAAGAGUAAGAAAAACAAAAAGAGGAAGAAGUUGAAGAAGGAGAAACAGCACAAGAAAUUGGAGGAGUCUUCAAGUGGAACGGCCAAAAAACCUAAAAAGAAGCUGAAACUAUGAUCUACGCUUAUUUAUCUCUUCGAGGGGACUGCAUCUGUGGUUGGGCUGAUUGUCACGAUGACUAAUCGUUACUGCAACUUGGCUGGAGGAGUAGAAUAGCAGAUGAUAUACUAGAAUGCUAGCUUUUUGUCAUCUAAUGUAGCAAGUGACAGUGUACAAGGAGCAUGCUGGAACGUCUCAAAGAUGUGCUCGGGGGAAAUUUUCAGCUGAAUAUUUUUAAAACAUUUGAGAUGACAUCCCCAUUAGCAGCAAGUCAUUGGUAUUUGAAUGAGUUGAAGAAGAAGCGUUUGGGAGAUUCUAGCCAGGGUAUCCAGCGCGGUAGUUGAGUUCUAGUGGAUAUACCAGCAUUGGACCAGUGGUGAGAUCUUGGGAUCCGGAUCGUCGCUAGUCCAUCUUUCAUUUUCAGUCCUUACAAUAUUCAGAGACUUAUGUUGUGUAUU